CUUGUGAGGUGCAUCACUGCAUGCUCAGGAGUUCAGUAGCUUGCAACACAACAUGAGGAUUCUGUGUCUUAUACUACUGGUGGUAUGUGUGAUGAUGUCGGAGGCCGCGGACCCUGUGCCCUGCACCAUCAACCUGCUGCUUUCUGUGUUGAAACCAGCGCUGGAAAGCGUAGACCAGAAAUAUAAGGACGACUUCAUUCAGUUCCUACAAAAACUCCUGUCAGGCUCCAUUUGAUCUGAUAAUGGAUUCUAUUUACUUAGAUUCAAUGAAAUAAAAUAAUAAAAAUAUCUUGUGUUUGUA